rnacentral:rRNA from 1 species
CCUACGGGAGGCAGCAGUAAGGAAUAUUGGUCAAUGGACGCAAGUCUGAACCAGCCAUGCCGCGUGCAGGAUGAAGGCCCUCUGGGUUGUAAACUGCUUUUAUAGGGGACGAAAAAGGGACUUUCUAGUUCAACUGACGGUACCCUAGGAAUAAGCACCGGCUAACUCCGUGCCAGCAGCCGCGGUAAUACGGAGGGUGCAAGCGUUAUCCGGAUUUACUGGGUUUAAAGGGUGCGUAGGUGGGUCGGUAAGUCAGCGGUGAAAUCUUCAAGCUUAACUUGGAAACUGCCAUUGAUACUAUCGAUCUUGAAUCAUCUGGAGGUAAGCGGAAUAUGUCAUGUAGCGGUGAAAUGCUUAGAUAUGACAUAGAACACCAAUUGCGAAGGCAGCUUACUACGGAUGUAUUGACACUGAGGCACGAAAGCGUGGGGAUCAAACAGGAUUAGAUACCCUGGUAGUCCACGCCCUAAACGAUGGAUACUCGACAUACGUGAUAUACUAUGUGUGUCUGAGCGAAAGCAUUAAGUAUCCCACCUGGGAAGUACGAUCGCAAGAUUGAAACUCAAGGAAUUGACGG